rnacentral:rRNA from 1 species
CGGCGAGUGAAGCGGCAACAGCUCAAAUUUGAAAGCUGGCCCUUUUAGGGUCCGCAUUGUAAUUUGUAGAGGAUGAUUCGGCGAGGGCUCCUGCCUAAGUCCCCUGGAACGGGGCGUCAUAGAGGGUGAGAAUCCCGUAUGCGGUAGGUUGCCUUAGCCAUGUGAAUCUCCUUCGACGAGUCGAGUUGUUUGGGAAUGCAGCUCUAAAUGGGAGGUAAAUUUCUUCUAAAGCUAAAUACCGGCCAGAGACCGAUAGCGCACAAGUAGAGUGAUCGAAAGAUGAAAAGCACUUUGGAAAGAGAGUUAAAAAGUACGUGAAAUUGUUGAAAGGGAAGCGCUUGCAACCAGACUUGUCCGCAGUUGCUCAGCCGGUCUCCUGACCGGCGUACUCUUCUGCGGCCAGGCCAGCAUCAGUUCGGGCGGUCGGAUAAAGGCCUCGGGAAUGUGGCUCCUCUCGGGGAGUGUUAUAGCCCGGGGUGCAAUGCGGCCAGCCUGGACUGAGGAACUCGCUUCGGCAAGGAUGCUGGCGUAAUGGUUGUAAGCGGCCCGUCUUGAAACACGGACCAAGGAGUCUAACAUCUAUGCGAGUGUUCGGGUGUCAAACCCGUACGCGUAAUGAAAGUGAACGGAGGUGGGAACCCGCAAGGGUGCACCAUCGGCCGAUCCUGAUGUCUUCGGAUGGAUUUGAGCAAGAGCAUAGCUGUUGGGACCCGAAAGAUGGUGAACUAUGCCUGAAUAGGGUGAAGCCAGAGGAAACUCUGGUGGAGGCUCGCAGCGGUUCUGACGUGCAAAUCGAUCGUCAAAUUUGGGUAUAGGGGCGAAAGACUAAUCGAACCAUC